AUUGAACGCUGGCGGCAUGCCUAACACAUGCAAGUCGAACGGGGGUAGCAAUUCCCUAGUGGCGGACGGGUGAGGAAUACGUAGGAAUUUGCCCUUAAGUGGGGGAUAACCCGGGGAAACCCGGACUAAUACCGCAUGAUCUCGUGAGAGCAAAGCAGGGGACCGCAAGGCCUUGCGCUUUUGGAGAAGCCUACGUCGGAUUAGCUAGAUGGUGGGGUAAUGGCCCACCAAGGCUACGAUCCGUAACUGGUCUGAGAGGAUGAUCAGUCACACCGGAGCUGAGACACGGUCCGGACUCCGACGGGAGGAAGCAGUGGGGAAUAUUGGACAAUGGGCGGAAGCCUGAUCCAGCAAGGCCGCGUGUGUGAAGAAGGCCUUCGGGUUGUAAAGCACUUUAGGCUGGAAAGAAAAAGCUUUGGCUAAUAUCCAAAGCCUUGACGGUACCAGCAGAAUAAGCACCGGCUAACUCUGUGCCAGCAGCCGCCGUAACAC
rnacentral:rRNA from 1 species